GAUCAACGCUGGCGGCGUGCCUAAUGCAUGCAAGUCGAGCGGGGUGAUCUUCGGAUCACUUACGCGGCGGACGGGUGCGGAACACGUGGGCAACCUGCCCCGAGGUGGGGGAUAGCCGGUGGAAACACCGGGUAAUUCCGCAUGAGGUCAUUGGCCGGAGGGCUGAUGAGGAAAGGGUCUUUUGACUCGCCUUGGGAGGGGCCUGCGGCCGAUUAGCUAGACGGUGGGGUAACGGCUUACCGUGGCGAUGAUCGGUAGCUGGUCUGAGAGGACGACCAGCCACACGGGGACUGAGACACGGCCCCGACUCCUACGGGAGGCAGCAGCAAGGAAUCUUCCGCAAUGGGCGAAAGCCUGACGGAGCAACGCCGCGUGUGGGAUGACGCCUUUCGGGGUGUAAACCACUUUUCUCAGGGAAGAAGCACUGACGGUACCUGAGGAAGAAGGACCGGCUAACUACGUG
rnacentral:rRNA from 1 species